rnacentral:siRNA from 1 species
AAGCUCCAUCCAAAUGAUGCAUU